rnacentral:rRNA from 1 species
GAUGAACGCUGGCGGCGUGCCUAAUACAUGCAAGUCGAGCGAACGGACGAGAAGCUUGCUUCUCUGAUGUUAGCGGCGGACGGGUGAGUAACACGUGGAUAACCUACCUAUAAGACUGGGAUAACUUCGGGAAACCGGAGCUAAUACCGGAUGAUAUUUUGAACCGCAUGGUUCAAAAGUGAAAGACGGUCUUGCUGUCACUUAUAGAUGGAUCCGCGCUGCAUUAGCUAGUUGGUAAGGUAACGACUUACCAAGGCAACGAUGCAAAGCCGACCUGAGAGGGUGAUCGGCCACACUGGAACUGAGACACGGUCCAGACUCCUACGGGAGGCAGCAGUAGGGAAUCUUCCGCAAUGGGCGAAAGCCUGACGGAGCAACGCCGCGUGAGUGAUGAAGGUCUUCGGAUCGUAAAACUCUGUUAUUAGGGAAGAACAUAUGUGUAAGUAACUGUGCACAUCUUGACGGUACCUAAUCAGAAAGCCACGGCUAACUACGUG